AAAAAGUAAGGGUUUCAUGAGAAACGCAAUGUGUCAUGAGUUUGUCGCUCCUAAGGCAUAAGGAAAUUCCUUGUAAUACAAGAGCAAUUUCUUCUGCUCGUUGCCGAAAGGGAGUCCGGUUAAUAUUCCGGAACUUGGAUGAGGAUAAUGUGUGGUAACACAAGUGAGCUCGGAGACGUCAGUCCUAUCCCCUGAAAGAGUUAUCUUUUCUUUUUAACAAGCUGUCGCCCUGUAAUUGGAUUAUCCAGAGCUAGGGCUUUCAUGCUUGGCAGAGCCCUACACUUAAGUAGGGUCAGGUGGUAGGGAAUGAUUCCUAAAAAUCCGAGUAAGAGAUUUAUUCGCUCACCAAAGCGUACCCAUAACCGCAUCAGGUGCUUCAGGUUAACAGCCUCUGGUCAAUUAGAAGAAUGUAGAUAAGGGAAUUCGGCAAGUUAAAUCCGUAAUUUCGAGAAAAGGAUUGGCUCUGAGGAUUGGGUUGGGGAGCCCAGUUUCUGAAGGCUUAGCUGGCUCGGAGCUGUUGAAGGCAACUUUGACGGCUUCUUGACGGCGAACGCUGGAAGGGCUGGGAAGUCUUCGGGCGUUCUCCAACAAUUAACAAUUAACUCAGAACUGAUACGGACAAGAGGAAUCCGACUGUUUACUUAAAACAUAGCUUUGUGAUGGUCUGAAAAGACGUUGACACAAGGUGAUUUCUGCCCAGUGCUCUGAAUGUCAAAGUGAAGAAAUUCAACCAAGCGCGGGUAAACGGCGGGAGUAACUAUGACUCUCUUAAGGUAGCCAAAUGCCUCGCCAUCUAAUUAGUGGCGUGCAUGAAUGGAUUAAUGAGAUUCCUACUGUCCCUAUCUACUAUCUAGCGAACCCACAGUCAAGGGAACGGGCUUGAGAUAAAAUCAGCGGGGAAAGAAGACCCUGUUGAGCUUGACCAUAGUUAGAUUUUGUGAAAUGACGGUGAAGGUAUAGCCUAAGUGGGAGCGUAAGCGAUCCUGUAAAACCACUACUUUGCUUGCCAUUUUACUUAUUCCGUGAAGUUGUGACCUCUCGCGAGGUUCUAGCUUUAAAGUGAGACUUCGUCUCGCCGAUCAAAGCGGAAGACAGGAUUUAGCGGGUGGUUUGGCUGGGGCGGUACAACUGCUAAACAAUAACGCAGUUGUCCUAAGUUAAGCUCAAAGAGAACAGAAAUCUCUUGUAGACCAUAAGGGGAAAAGCUUAAUUGAUUUUGAUUUUCAGUACAAAUACAAACUGUGAAAGCAUGGCCUAACGAUCCUUUAGCCUUUAAAAGUUUUAAGCUAGAGGUGUCAGAAAAGUUACCACAGGGAUAACUGAUUCGUGGCAGCCAAGAGUCCCAAUCGACGUUGCUUUUUGAUCCUUCGAUGUCGGCUCUUCCUAUCAUU
rnacentral:rRNA from 1 species